rnacentral:rRNA from 1 species
GAGUUUGAUCAUGGCUCAGGAUGAACGCUAGCGACAGGCCUAACACAUGCAAGUCGAGGGGCAGAUGUAGCAAUACAUUGCGACCGGCGCACGGGUGAGUAACACGUAUGCAAUCUACCUUCUACAGAGAGAUAGCCCGUUGAAAGACGGAUUAAUACCUCAUAAUACAGGCUCGCAUGAGUAUUUGUUAAAGAAGCAAUUCGGUAGAAGAUGAGCAUGCGCUCCAUUAGGUAGUUGGUGAGGUAACGGCUCACCAAGCCGACGAUGGAUAGGGGAACUGAGAGGUUUAUCCCCCACACUGGUACUGAGACACGGACCAGACUCCUACGGGAGGCAGCAGUGAGGAAUAUUGGUCAAUGGACGCAAGUCUGAACCAGCCAAGUCGCGUGAAGGAUGACGGCCCUCGGGUUGUAAACUUCUUUUGUACUAGAGUAAAAAAGGUUACGUGUAGCCUCUUGCAAGUAUAGUACGAAUAAGCAUCGGCUAACUCCGUGCCAGCAGCCGCGGUAAUACGGAGGAUGCGAGCGUUAUCCGGAUUUAUUGGGUUUAAAGGGUGCGUAGGCGGAAGCUUAAGUCAGCGGUGAAAGUUUGAGGCUCAACCUUAAAAUUGCCGUUGAAACUGGGUUUCUUGAGUGUAAAUGAAGUAGGCGGAAUUCGUAGUGUAGCGGUGAAAUGCAUAGAUAUUACGAGGAACUCCAAUUGCGCA